rnacentral:rRNA from 1 species
GAUGAACGCUGGCGGCGUGCCUAAUACAUGCAAGUCGAGCGAACGGACGAGAAUCUUGCUUCUCUGAUGUUAGCGGCGGACGUGUGAGUCACACGUGUAUAACCUACCUAUAUGACUGGGAUCACUUCGGGACACCGGCGCUAAUACCGGAUGAUAUUUUGAACCGCAUGGUUCAAUAGUGAAAGACGGUCUUGCUGUCACUUAUAGAUGGUUCCGCGCUGCAUUAGCUAGUUGGUAAGGUAACGGCUUACCAAGGCAACGAUGCAUAGCCGACGUGAGAGGGGGAUCGCCGACCCGGGAACGGAGACACGGUCCAGACUACUACGGGAGGCAGCAGUAGGGAAUGUUCCGCAAUAGGCGAAAGCAUGACGGAGCAACGCCGCGUGAGUGAUGAAGGUCUUCGGAUCGUAAAACUCUGUUAUGAGGGAAGAACAGAUGUGUAAGUAAAUGUGCACAUAGUGACGGUACCGAAUCAGAAAGCCACGGCUAACUACGUG